rnacentral:lncRNA from 1 species
GUGUCAGCGUCGUGCAGAACGAGUACAUGGGCGAGAAGAGGCAGCGAAUCACCGUGAGGAGCGAGUCACCGGUCGACUACGCCGCUGAAGCCAGGUACCAGCUCGAGGAGAUCGCCAAGCUCACCUCCAGCUAGAAGAAGAUGCAAGAGGAGUAUGCCUGCUCCCCUCGAGGAGAUUCCCAAGCUCACCGCUGCCUGCUGGGAGAAGAUGCUCCCCUUGAGGAGAUAGAUAUCCAGGCUCAUCGCACUAGACGGAGCCAUGUUUUGGCCCCAAGUUUCCUGAAGUGUAGUGCUGCUUCAGCCGUGUCUUUCUGCCGU